rnacentral:rRNA from 1 species
CACGUAGGCACCAAGCGUUGUCCGGAUUUAUUGGGCGUAAAGAGCGCGCAGGCGGCUGGUCAAGUCCGAUGUGAAAUCUCCCGGCUUAACUGGGAAACUGCAUCGGAAACUGAUCGGCUUGAAGGUGGGAGAGGGUAGUGGAAUUCCCGGUGUAGUGGUGAAAUGCGUAGAUAUCGGGAGGAACACCAGUGGCGAAGGCGACUACCUGGCCCAUUCUUGACGCUGAGGCGCGAAAGCUAGGGGAGCGAACGGG